rnacentral:tRNA from 1 species
UCCCUGGCAGUCCAGUGGUUAGCACAUGGCGCUUUCACUGCUGAGGCCCAGGUUCAAUCCCUGGUCAGGGUA